rnacentral:pre_miRNA from 1 species
CAUACAUGACUUUCUGAAAAAUUAUCUUUUGCACUGAAAUUUAUCAUGUUUAUUCUCAGCCAAAAGGUGAUUAUUUUUUGAAAGUUUGUAG